UACGGAGGGGGCUAGCGUUGUUCGGAAUUACUGGGCGUAAAGCGCACGUAGGCGGCUUUGCAAGUUAGAGGUGAAAGCCCGGGGCCUCAACUCCGGAAUUGCCUUUAAAACUGCAUCGCUAGAAUUGUGGAGAGGUAAGUGGAAUUCCGAGUGUAGAGGUGAAAUUCGUAGAUAUUCGGAAGAACACCAGUGGCGAAGGCGACUUACUGGACACAUAUUGACGCUGAGGUGCGAAAGCGUGGGGAGCAAACAGG
rnacentral:rRNA from 1 species